AGGAAUAUCCUUCUUUUCUUCUUUGAAUUUUUUGACUGUAAAACAAUCUAAGUAAAAAGAGAUAUUUCAUUGUUGGGCUGCUAAGGUAAACCAGCCUGUAUAUUACAAAAGUAUCUUAACUUCAGAAUUUGGGUCUAAGGAUAUGUUGCUUUGGAAAAGAGGUUCUUCUUUUGUUUCCAUAGAGGAUGAGAACCUGUGGAAUCCUUCCAGACUGACAUGGUUUGAUAGACCAUGACAUUCUCAGAGGUCACCAUGAACAUCCCCCCCAAAUUAAUUCACCCAACAAAAAGCAGAAGGAACUUUGGAGAAGAACUAUACCCAUAUUCCCAAGUAUUUUUAUAAAUAUUUGUUUACAUUUCAAGGGUGGUAUGCUAUAGUUAUUUGCAUCAGCAUGGAUCUUGGUUUAUUGAUAAAAAUUUAAGGUCAAUUUUGUUAGAUGUAUAUUUAUGCUCUUGGUUAAGGUAUUAUAUUUGUACAGCUUAUUUAAAAAUAUAAAGUAUAAUUAAGAAAUAUAAUAGAUAAUCAUUUAUAAUAGUCAAACUUGUAGUCAUGUUAGAUUUUCUAGAUGUACUGGUAUGUAUUUCAGAUGGAUAGACAUUCUUCAAAUCUUUCAGAGAUCUUCAGAAUGUGGCAUUUAAAAUGCUUUUUAAGAACUUAGGACUUUUCAGGACAAUGACACAUAUCUAUUCCUAGCAGCACCAAUUUACUUCAAAACGAAGAUGAGUAUUGAAGAGGCUCCUUAUGGAGUUGGUUAGCCAUUUGGGCAAGAAAAUGCUCUUGCCUGAACUUCUUGAUAAACUGGACAUGCAGGACCCUCAGAGAAAUGACUGCUAAACUUGCCGAAAGGUGAGACAGUCCUUUGGUGUUCUUGCUUUAUGAAAGUGUCUGAUAGACAUUCUACAGGAUACAAAAGGAAGUUACUGACAAACUGCAAAUAGAGGCGAACCUGUUUUUAAAUUUUCCUGCUGCAUGGAAAAGUCUGCUGGAUACUAUGGGAUUAUAGCCUGAAGAUAAAUGCCUCAACGAUACAGAAGAACUUUGGGCUCUUGCACAACUCGUGUACGGUACAAUGGCACGCAAACUGUACCGAGGAUGUAACACAAAAUCGGGUGUUAAAAUUGGAGGCCCCACUGGGAUGAUCAUCGGCAACUAGACCCAUCUGCGAGAUCUGGAAGUAGGGAUCCCUGAGAGGUCGCCCUCGGAAAGGCUGGCCAGCAGGCUCUUGCACAACUCAUGUAUGGUACAGUGGCACGUGAACUGUACCGAGGAUGUAAUACAAAACCGGGUGUUACAAUUCAGAAUGCCCCUCUUUCCUGGAUUCUAUGGAAAAUAUAAUAAAGGUACUGAUGACCUAUUUAAUGAAAACUUUAGAUGGUGACAAGACCUUAUCAGGAAAUUAUCUGCUGAAUUGGGAAAAGAAAUGGCUUGAUUGAAGAGAAAUUACAGAAAGCGCACGUGGGCAAAUCUUAAAUACAUUCUGGUCAUACUAGCCUUAAAACAUUCCUCUGUAGGAAUUUUAAGGCAGACGGAGCAUAUUAUCUUAGAAUGGAAUUUUUAUUAUAUAAACUGAGUUAAAACAUUAGCCAAGGACAAUGGCACUGGGUUUUGAUCCUACUUCAUGUUCUGGCUUUGUGGGAGCCUAGCCUGUUUAGAUGCUCACCUUCCUAGACCUGGAUGGAGCGGGGAGGACCUUGGACUUACCACAGGGCAGGGAA